rnacentral:misc_RNA from 1 species
AAUAAGCAAACAUCAGAUAUUCUCUAAAAACAAAUGCAUCGAAACCUUGAGGGGAUGGUUUUCGAGGAGGGAUAUCCAGAAAAAUUCAUCUAGAAAUGUCAAGGUCCAAUACAUUCAAGGGUGUAAUUGGAAAAUAUCCUUUAAAAGCUUUCAACCUUUAAAAUUGCAUUACGAAUAAAAAAUGCAGCAGGAGAGGAAG